UUGUGGUAAUUGGUUAUCAAUUUCUUUUCCGUAAGUGCGAAUAUAAUUUUUUAGUUUUUCCUUGGUUCUUUUAACUGAAGAAUCGUCUGAUGAAUUUGAAGAAUGCUAGAGUUAAACGAAGUAAGCCUCUUAGAGGCAAUUCAUCUACUGCUGCUUUUAUAAAUAGAAGUAUAAAUGGGUAUAUCUUGAUUAUUGGUGAUUUAUGAUGAUCUGGAUUUUGAGAUCUAUAAUUCUAGGCUUCUUCUAGUUUGCAUACUAUUUUGUAGAUUUUUUUUUUUUUUCAAAUUUAAAGUUCUAGGUUAAUUUUUAAUUUGAGACUUAUAGUGUUGCACUUCUCAAUCACAUGGAAAGGGUGAGUGUAAAUUGUGGUCUUCUACUUUAAUUAAUAUUAUGUUUCCUGAUGAUUUUGCAUUCCACUUUAGAUUUUCAUAAAAGUAAAAGUGAAUUGAUAUAGUAUUAUAUUGUCAAAACAACUAGCGUGACCUACUUCAUUUGGUGUUUCUACUCAAUCAGUGACAUCCCAAGUAGAAGGGAAGCUUGUGUAUCAUUAAAAAAAAUGUGGUUGAACCUCCAAUUUCCUAGUGGUGAGAAAACGAACAUGUAUGCUAUACUCUAUGUCUAAAGAUAAAUUGAACUAUCAACUUCCGCAAGAAUGUGGAGGUUUUCUCGCUUUUGUUUCUUCUUUCUGAUUUUCUUAUAUUAAAACAAUUAGGUGAGAUGUGUAUCUAGAUUUUAGAUGCUUUUGACAAUUGAAGAUCAACAGGAAAACUUGAUUGCAACUGUAUCCAUAUUCAAUCGUAUUAAUUAUGUGGUGUUAAUUGCUAGUUUGUUUUACAUUGCUGGAUCUUUUAGUUGUUUCCGUAUCUUUUUAGUUUUAGUCAUAUGCCCGUCGACCUAUUCAGGACAAUGUUGAGAAAUUUCUUACACCAUAAUAUAGUAUCAAGUGGAGCUUCUACUCGAAUAGGUUGCUGGUGCGCACUUGAUAUUUGAUUGGGAUCUCAAACUUCUUGGUCUUAUCUUGUAAACUCGCAUUAUAUGACAUUAUCAUUUUGGCUGUCCAGAGUAUCUUCGAAAUAUUAUGGAUUCAUGGGUUUAGAUAUAGCUCAUAUGAUCUGUGGAUGGAUACUCGAUCUAGUGCUUUCUUUUAUAUGUUAUUUACAAUGAUAAGUUAAUCAUUAUUUUUAUGUUUAACUGGACUUUAUGUGUCUUACCUGGACUUGAUUUUUGCUAAGUUUUCUUGUAUUUACCUUUAAAUCAUCCGUUGAAUGGAAUCAUCAUUUUCUGUUUCUUAUUUAAUUCAUAAAUGAACUCUCAUGCUAUUUACGGGCAGAAAUGCUUUCAGGUUUUAUUUGAUAGACUAGAAAUCAUGACUCUAGGAAGUUUUUUCUAUUUAAGAGAUGCAUAUUUCCUUCUUGUAUGAUACUUCAUGGCUUCAGGACAUGUUCAGAUAUUAGAAAUCCUAUGCUUAUGUUUUUCUGGGGGAUUUUUAAAACCCAUAAGUAAUAGAGAAUAAUUUGUAUGUCCAUCCUGCAUAUCGGUGUUGUUAGAAAUCAUUUUUAGCUGUAUUUGUAUUCUGACUACUUGGUUGUGCCAAGAACGUAUAGGCUCUAUGGUGUCACACCUUACAUUAGCUUGUUAUGUACUUUGAAAACUAGUGAGUGUCUACAUUUACCAUACUUGACUGCUUAUACACAUAUAUAUUUCGAACUCUCUCCAAGUUAAUUCAUGACUCGUGGGAAGUUAAGGACUAUGGCUCAAGUCCUUAAACCAACAUGAAACUUUAUUUUUUCUUAAUGACGAGCCGAUUUUUAUUUUAAACUCCUACAUUAAGGUACUCUUCAAGUUGCUACUCUUUUUGUGGAAGAUUAUGUUAAAAAAAUUGCAAAGUGAGGUGUUCAAGUCAUGCCAUAUGGAUUCUGUUAAGAGAAAUCAUCACCGGAAUCAUUUGACAUGAAGUUAUACGAAUCUUUGAAGUAAUAUGUGGUUGAUUUAUAUUUGCUAAGUUUAAAAAUGUAUUAGACAUUUGGGUUUGUCUUCUAAGGGCUUGUUGUUAACAAUCCGAGCUACGCUAUGCUAGUGUGGAUAUAUCUUAAUCCUCUGCAAUUCUAGCUCAUUUUCUAUUAAGAAAUAUUGUAUCUCAUUUUUUUUCUGUUUCAUUUUUUCCCUUGUAUGAUGAAUACAUGCUUGAUUUACUAUAUGUUUCUAAUGGACCCAUUAUCCAACGCAAAAGGUAUGCUUCUUUAUGACUGAAAUGUCACUACAAUUGAUAGAGAUUUUGAUCUCUGACUCAUAAUCCUUCAUUGUGUUUAUGCAUAAAUAUAUUCUGUAUUCUUGUUGGAGGACUGUUGUCUGUUUGUCCUUUUCAGGAAAAGAAUGAGAUUAUUUUUGAGUCUAUACAUCGAUGAAUAGGAGUAUACUGCCAAGCAUUGAUUUUUUAUU